CCCCUCGCAUCCGGAACCGGGGAUCGCUAUAUGAGCGGUGCCGCUUGCGGCUAUGGCGAUAAACGUUGCGUGGAAUAAUCGUUACGGACCCGGGGGCAGUGCCCGGCGUCUCCACCACCAUCCGGUCCUUUGUCAGGGAUCAGGUCUUGGGGACGAAACAGGCUCGACGUGCGUGGUAAAGACGUAGCUUUUGCCCGGCAUUGUACCGCCGUUAUCGGGCUAAAUCACAAGUGCCAAUGACAAUGUCCGCGAGGACAUGGCGCUCGCUGCCUAGGAAUAGGUAAGCGCGGUUCGGGGGGCGCCGGGCAACAGAAGCCCCCCACU
rnacentral:tmRNA from 1 species